ensembl:lncRNA
AUCGAGGUCAAACCAUCUUCAGCUCCCAUACAGGAACAAAGCACUCAUUCCAUCAGUGUGACUGGUACAAAUGACUCUACAGCUACGGCCUCUUUCCCUACUGAACCAUCAUCACUAGACUCACCGAAAACAACUCAAAUAAAAGAUUUACAACUAGUGGAACAAUCAACUCAACGACUUCAGACCACAAUACAGAAGAUUACAGAACCCAAUCAAGCUAUAGAGCAACACAUCCCUGAUUCUACAAAAUUUAAAAUUCCCUCCACUGCAGCUGUAGAACCUUCUACAAUUGCCAUACAUGAACAGAUCAACCACUUCACUGAUAUUAAUGACCUCCAGAUGACUUUCCCUUUUGCCUGGCUCACAUCAAAAACACUGUGAUCCACUAAAACACAGGCCACAGAAUCAUUCGAAAUGGAGUGGGGAUUUGUGUUUAAAGCUACAUUAGUAGGCAGAGGAUGUGUCAUUACUGGGCAGCGUAAGCAGGCUCUGCUAGAAUGAAGCGAUUGAGGAAGAAAGAGGGAGAGGAAGAGAGAGAAAUGGAGAGUGGCACUGGAAAGGUUCUGUACCAGAGCUCUUUUGUUCAAAACGAACACACACCUGCCCCGGGCAAGGACACAAAGGUGAGGAACUUUAAAUCAGUUACCAAAAAGCGUUCUAGGAAUGAUACUACACUAAGAAUUAAGAACUGCUUCAUUAUUAGAGUUUUAAUUUAAACACUGAGUUUUACAGUAUGUGCUGAUUGUGUGGGAAAAUCUCAGAGGAACUGAUUAAAACAUGGUAAAAUGUGUUAAAUGGAGAUGACAGUACGUUACUCUUACUGACAGACAACAUCAUAAUCAGAAUAACAAAAUUAAUAAAAUCAGGACUUGAUUGAAAUUUCUGCAAGAU